GGGUGAGUCAUCGAAUCUUUGAACGCACAUUGCGCCCCCUGGCAUUCCGGGGGGCAUGCCUGUCCGAGCGUCAUUUCUGCCCUCAAGCACGGCUUGUGUGUUGGGUGUGGUCCCCUCCCUGGCGGGGGGACCUGCCCGAAAGGCAGCGGCGACGUCGCGUCCGGUCCUCGAGCGUAUGGGGCUUUGUCACUCGCUCGGGAAGGACCUGCGCACGUCUGUCACAACUGUAUUUUUUACCACGGUUGACCUCGGAUCAGGUAGGAGUUACCCGCUGAACUUAAGCAUAUCAAUAAGCGGAGG
rnacentral:misc_RNA from 1 species